CGUUGUUUGUUUGGCAUUUCGCUUCCACCACGUGCGUGUUACCAAGUUUGUAUGGGUGUUCUGUGGUGUUACCAGUUAUCGCAUUUUUGUAUUGGUGUGCCGCCGGGUAUGUCUGCUGUCUCCACGACCACUGCUUCCUACCUCCUGUGGCAAAUGACAAGCGAUUGAGGCAUUCCAGCUAUCCAGCAAAGCAGAUGAUGCAGUUGCAUCAAGGAUUCCACCACUGCCGCUGUAACUCCUGUGAACUGUGAUCUGAAGUGCACACCAGGAUCCAUGAAGGGCAGCAUUUGUUUGAAUUCCAUUUGUGCCCGUGGAACUUCUCGCAAACGUUCAAGCUGAAGCAAAACCUGCACACCUACACUGGCAUAAGGCCAUUUGAGUGCCCUUCAUGUCAUCAGAGCUUCUCAGAAAAAAAAUCUGAAACACACCUGUGCAUCCACACAGCAUCCAGGCAUUCCAGCUGUCCAGCAAAUGCGGGUGGUGCAGUUACAUCAAGGAUACCA